ACCUGACUGGCUCAGUCAGUAAAGCAUGUGACUCUUGAUCUUGCGGUCAUGAGUUCAAGCCCUAUGUUGGGUG
rnacentral:tRNA from 1 species